rnacentral:rRNA from 1 species
GAUGAACGCUGGCGGCGUGCCUAAUACAUGCAAGUCGAGCGAACAGAUAAGGAGCUUGCUCCUUUGACGUUAGCGGCGGACGGGUGAGUAACACGUGGGUAACCUACCUAUAAGACUGGGAUAACUUCGGGAAACCGGAGCUAAUACCGGAUAACAUUUUGAACCGCAUGGUUCUAAAGUGAAAGAUGGUUUUGCUAUCACUUAUAGAUGGACCCGCGCCGUAUUAGCUAGUUGGUAAGGUAACGGCUUACCAAGGCGACGAUACGUAGCCGACCUGAGAGGGUGAUCGGCCACACUGGAACUGAGACACGGUCCAGACUCCUACGGGAGGCAGCAGUAGGGAAUCUUCCGCAAUGGGCGAAAGCCUGACGGAGCAACGCCGCGUGAGUGAUGAAGGGUUUCGGAUCGUAAAACUCUGUUAUUAGGGAAGAACAAAUGUGUAAGUAACUGUGCACGUCUUGACGGUACCUAAUCAGAAAGCCACGGCUAACUACGUG